CACGGAGUUAGCCGGUGCUUAUUCAUCAGGUACCGUCAACGGCGUUAGAAACACCGGUUUCUUCCCCAAUAAAAGAAGUUUACAACCCAGAGGGCCUUCAUCCUCCACGCGGCAUGGCUGGUUCAGACUUGCGUCCAUUGACCAAUAUUCCUUACUGCUGCCUCCCGUAGGAGUCGGGCCCGUGUCUCAGUGCCCGUGUGACUGGUCGUGCUCUCACACCAGUUACUGAUCGUCGGCUUGGUGGGCCAUUACCCCGCCAACUACCUAAUCAGCCGCACGCCCAUCUUUAAGUGCCGGAGCUUUAACAGCUGUGUGAUGCCACACCACUGUCUUAUGGGGUAUUAAUCCAAGUUUCCCUGGGCUAUUCCCCGCUUAAAGGAAGGUUGCGUACGUGUUCCGCACCCGUUUGCCGGUCGCCACCCAGUAUUGCUACCUGUGCUGCCCCACGACUUGCAUGUAUUAAGCCUGCCGCUAGCGUUCAUCCUGAGCCAGGAUCAAACUCU
rnacentral:rRNA from 1 species